GGACAGAAAGACCCUAUGAAGCUUUACUGUAGCUUGGAAUUGAAUUUGGGUUUAAUUUGCGCAGUAUAGGUGGGAGGCAAAGAGUAUAUGUUCGCGGAUGUAUAUGAGCCAUUAGUGAGAUACCACUCUGAUUAAACUAGAAUUCUAAUAUUGAUUGCCAUAAGCUGGCCAAUAGACAGUUUCUGGUGGGCAGUUUGACUGGGGCGGUCGCCUCCUAAAAGGUAACGGAGGCGUGCAAAGGUUUCCUCAGGCUGGUCGGAAAUCAGUCGUAGAGUAUAAAGGCAUAAGGAAGCUUGACUGCGAGACCUACAAGUCGAGCAGAGACGAAAGUCGGCCUUAGUGAUCCGACAGUACUGAGUGGAAAGGCUGUCGCUCAACGGAUAAAAGUUACCUCUAGGGAUAACAGGCUGA
rnacentral:rRNA from 3 species